rnacentral:rRNA from 1 species
GUGGGGAAUCUUCCGCAAUGGACGAAAGUCUGACGGAGCAACGCCGCGUGAGUGAUGAAGGUCUUCGGAUUGUAAAGCUCUGUUAAUCGGGACGAAAGAGCCUAGUGUGAAUAAUGCUAGGAAGUGACGGUACCGGAAUAGAAAGCCACGGCUAACUACGUGCCAGCAGCCGCGGUAAUACGUAGGUGGCAAGCGUUGUCCGGAAUUAUUGGGCGUAAAGCGCGCGCAGGCGGAUCUGCCAGCCUGUCUUAAAAGUUCGGGGCUUAACCCCGUGAUGGGAUGGAAACUACAGAUCUAGAGUAUCGGAGAGGAAAGUGGAAUUCCUAGUGUAGCGGUGAAAUGCGUAGAUAUUAGGAAGAACACCAGUGGCGAAGGCGACUUUCUGGACGAAAACUGACGCUGAGGCGCGAAAGCCAGGGGAGCGAACGGGAUUAGAAACCCCUGUAGUCC